AUUGAACGCUGGCGGCAGGCCUAACACAUGCAAGUCGAACGAGUGGCGGACGGGUGAGUAAUGUCUGGGAAACUGCCUGAUGGAGGGGGAUAACUACUGGAAACGGUAGCUAAUACCGCAUACCAUCGGAUGUGCCCAGAUGGGAUUGUCUAGUAGGUGGGGUAAAGGCUCACCUAGGCGACGAUCCCUAGCUGGUCUGAGAGGAUGACCAGCCAAACGGGAGCGGAGACAGGGCCCAUACUCCUACGGGAGGCAGCAGUGGGGAAUAUUGAACAAGGGUCGAAAGCCUGAUGCAGCCAUGCCGGGGGUAUGAAGAAGGUUUUUGGGUGGUAAAGUACUUUCAGGGGGGAGGCGUUACCCGCAGAAGAAGCACAGGCUAACUCCGGGCCAGCCGCCGCGGGAAUAC
rnacentral:rRNA from 1 species